rnacentral:rRNA from 1 species
AACAAACGCUGGCGGCGUGCCUAAUACAUGCAAGUCGAACGGGGAAAGCUUUCGGGUGAGUACUAGUGGCGCACGGGUGAGUAACGCGUGGAUAAUCUGCCUUGAAGAGGGGGAUAACCAGUCGAAAGAUUGGCUAAUACCGCAUAAGACCACAGGAACUGAGGUUCUAGAGGUCAAAGGUUUUUCGCUUCAAGAUGAGUCCGCGUAAGAUUAGCUAGUUGGUGAGGUAACGGCUCACCAAGGCGACGAUCUUUAACUGGUCUGAGAGGAUGAUCAGUCACACUGGAACUGAGACACGGUCCAGACUCCUACGGGAGGCAGCAGUAGGGAAUAUUGCACAAUGGAGGAAACUCUGAUGCAGCGACGCCGCGUGAGUGAUGAAGGCCUUCGGGUCGUAAAGCUCUGUCGCAGGGGAAUAACACAAUGAAGGUACCCUGUAAGAAAGGAUCGGCUAACUUCGUGCCAGCAGCCGCAGUAACAC